UACGGAGGGGGCUAGCGUUGUUCGGAAUUACUGGGCGUAAAGCGCACGUAGGCGGCUUUGUAAGUUAGAGGUGAAAGCCCGGGGCUCAACUCCGGAAUUGCCUUUAAGACUGCAUCGCUAGAAUUGUGGAGAGGUAAGUGGAAUUCCGAGUGUAGAGGUGAAAUUCGUAGAUAUUGGGAAGAACACCGGUGGCGAAGGCGGCGACCUGGUCCUUGACUGACGCUGAGGCGCGAAAGCGUGGGGAGCAAACAGG
rnacentral:rRNA from 1 species